CGGCACAUAGGCGGAUGCGGCUCCCUAUAUACAACUCGGUCACCAUGGGGAUGGGCCGGGGCCUUUUCCUGUUGGUCCAGACCCCCAAUCUGCCCAGAGAAGCCAUGACAGGAGACUGGUGAUUGGUGCAAGCGACGUGGGAUGAGGUAAUCUCUCCCCCACCCCUUUUUCUCUAGCAUCCGUAGACUGUUUGCAUCCUUUAGACAAAGAGACCGUGCAGAAGCAGUCGGCCGAGCAUCCAUUAUGGGGCGGGGUUGGGGAGGGGCGGAAGGAGAAGAAAGGGGACUGGGGUUAGAAGACUUUCUGUUGCUUAAACCUCAAACUGCAGUUAAAAUUAUCUAUGUGAGGUUUUUUCCCCCUACCCUUAAUAACAAUUUAUGUUUAGAUUAAAUAUUUAAAGGAAAAUGACUGCCAGCCCCUCCCUCGUAGUAUAUUAAACUCGACUACAUUUUGUUAGGGUUCAACAUCUCUAAUUGCUUUAAACGUAAAGUGGGAGGGAAAAUCGGCAUGAUGCUCGAAAUGGCCUGGGUAUAUGUGAUUUUUUUAAUUUAAAAAAAGAUUUAGCCAUACGGUCAUUCCAAAUGGUUUCUCAGGUUCAACUAACUUAUUUUCAGAGCUUCUUCUGCAGGCACACGCACACCCGAAUAGCUAAACAAAACUGGAAGAUGGAAAGAAUAACCAUAUUAAAUAAAGAAGCGAACAAAUAGUUCUAACAUGGCAAUAAUCAAGAGCAAGUGAACGUAGAGUAGUUAUAAUGGUUUACUAGAGGUAUUCUUUUAUGAGAAGUCUAUGUAACACAUUUUGUAUGGUACAUUGUCCUUUGGAAUGAAUCAUCUUUCCUGAUAGAAAAUUGGGAAAAUACAAGGAGAAAUAAUUGAGCUCAGAAGUUAGUACUACAUGUGUGCAGUUACAUAUCUGAAUUGGACUUUUGUCUGGAAAGUAACAAGCAAAAUAAUAGUAAUAACCAAUACACCAAAUUAAAAAGAAGAAGAGAAUAAUAUAAUGUAAAAAGAAUUUUGCAAUGUCGCCUCCAUCCACAGACAACUGUGAAACAUCAGCUCAAUAAACGCAUUUCCUUUUUAUGUAGUUCUUAUGUCAAUUUGGUAAAUAUCCUCCUGCGAGUGGGCUUCUAACUGUGGGAAUUUUAGCCGGCCUCACACCCUUGCUGUUCAGCUAGAGACUCUGGUGGUUGCUCAGUUGUCCCUUGGGACAAAAAGGCUUUGCUUUCACCCCUAGGAAAUAAAUUGGAGUAAAAUUAUCUUGAUAUUUAGGAAGCCUCCAUUCUCAGCAACGAUCCGGAGUAAGUCACUGGACUUCGUACCACUGGAUGUUGGUGAUGAAAUUUCAGAGGUAAA
rnacentral:lncRNA from 1 species